CCUACGGGGGGCAGCAGUGAGGAAUAUUGGUCAAUGGGCGCUAGCCUGAACCAGCCAAGUAGCGUGAAGGAUGACUGCCCUAUGGGUUGUAAACUUCUUUUAUAUGGGAAUAAAGUGCAGUAUGUAUACUGCUUUGCAUGUACCUUAUGAAUAAGGAUCGGCUAACUCCGUGCCAGCAGCCGCGGUAAUACGGAGGAUGCGAGCGUUAUCCGGAUUUAUUGGGUUUAAAGGGUGCGCAGGCGGUCUGUUAAGUCAGCGGUCAAAGCCCGGGGCUCAACCCCGGCCCGCCGUUGAAACUGGCAGUCUCGAGUUGGAGAGAAGUAUGCGGAAUGCGCGGUGUAGCGGUGAAAUGCAUAGAUAUCGCGCAGAACUCCGAUUGCGAAGGCAGCAUGCCGGCUCCACACUGACGCUGAGGCACGAAAGCGUGGGUAUCGAACAGGAUUAGAUACCCCAGUAGUC
rnacentral:rRNA from 1 species